CCUACGGGGGGCAGCAGUGGGGAAUAUUGGACAAUGGGCGAAAGCCUGAUCCAGCCAUGCCGCGUGUGUGAAGAAGGCCUUCGGGUUGUAAAGCACUUUCAGUGGGGAAGAAAGCCUUGGGGCUAAUACCCUCGAGGAAGGACAUCACCCACAGAAGAAGCACCGGCUAACUGCCGUGCCAGCAGCCGCGGUAAUACGGAGGGUGCGAGCGUUAAUCGGAAUUACUGGGCGUAAAGCGCGCGUAGGCGGUCUGAUAAGCCGGUUGUGAAAGCCCCGGGCUCAACCUGGGAACGGCAUCCGGAACUGUCAGGCUAGAGUGCAGGAGAGGAAGGUAGAAUUCCCGGUGUAGCGGUGAAAUGCGUAGAGAUCGGGAGGAAUACCAGUGGCGAAGGCGGCCUUCUGGACUGACACUGACGCUGAGGUGCGAAAGCGUGGGUAGCAAACAGGAUUAGAUACCCUGGUAGUC
rnacentral:rRNA from 1 species